rnacentral:rRNA from 1 species
UGUCGUGGGGGAUAACGUAGGGAAACUUACGCUAAUACCGCAUACGACCUACGGGUGAAAGCAGGGGAUCUUCGGACCUUGCGCGAUUGAAUGAGCCGAUGUCGGAUUAGCUAGUUGGCGGGGUAAAGGCCCACCAAGGCGACGAUCCGUAGCUGGUCUGAGAGGAUGAUCAGCCACACUGGAACUGAGACACGGUCCAGACUCCUACGGGAGGCAGCAGUGGGGAAUAUUGGACAAUGGGCGCAAGCCUGAUCCAGCCAUACCGCGUGGGUGAAGAAGGCCUUCGGGUUGUAAAGCCCUUUUGUUGGGAAAGAAAUCCAACUGGUUAAUACCCGGUUGGGAUGACGGUACCCAAAGAAUAAGCACCGGCUAACUUCGUGCCAGCAGCCGCGGUAAUACGAAGGGUGCAAGCGUUACUCGGAAUUACUGGGCGUAAAGCGUGCGUAGGUGGUUAUUUAAGUCCGUUGUGAAGCCCUGGGCUCAACCUGGGAACUGCAGUGGAUACUGGAUGACUAGAAUGUGGUAGAGGGUAGCGGAAUUCCUGGUGUAGCAGUGAAAUGCGUAGAGAUCAGGAGGAACAUCCAUGGCGAAGGCAGCUACCUGG